rnacentral:lncRNA from 1 species
UUUCGCUAUACAUUUCUAUACAAUGACAAAACGCAUCGCUUGCUGAAGCUCAAGAAGACGUGGACGUGGACGCGGGUGUCCCCGACGACGGGUUGAAGGCGGCCUGCUCCCCGCAGCUGAGCACCUCGUGCGGGCCGGCCUCCUCGCGGCCAACGCCCAUCAGGUCAAGGUAGUACUGGUAGUGGGAGACCAUGUUGUUCAUGUGCUCGUCGUCGCCCUUGCCGCAGACGUCGUCGCCAUAGAGGAUGUUCAUGGUGGCACCGAACCCGGGGACCCGCUUGGCCAGGGUGUCGUUCUUCGUGGGCUUCCAGUUGCCGACGAACACGUCGUGGGCCGACGGCUGGUGCUUCUUGUCCGGUGUCAUCCACCGCCAGAUCGCCGCCUGGAAGGCCAGCGUCGCGUUGUUCUCGAUGUGCUCCGGGUUGUUCAGCAGGUCCACCUUCAGGGCCUGCCCCGCUUUUCCGUAGUUGUAGUUCCUAAAACAUACGGCAAAAUCAGGCAAAAUAGAGCUCAACGCCUAAUCGAAUUCUCCAGGAUCCAACAUUGUAUUUUCCUGGCCUGGGCUCAGCGCAUCGAAAUAGAAACUAAUUGCAAAAGUGAAUUGUGGAAUUGAGAUCGACAGGGUGCCUGAAAGAUCGGAUCGUAAUUAUGCUUUGCUUUUAGUAAGUUAAAUAUGAUCGCUAGAAGUAAACUUAUGGGUAAAAUCUUCUCAAAAUAUAGAGAUUUCAAAUUUAGAUUAGUCUCAUUUUUAUAUUUCCUAAGUCACCCUGCCAUUUUUCCCUCACACUCAUUCAAAGAAAGCCAUUUACUUUCCUAACCUCCUCUUUUUAAUUAAUCUCCAAAAUUUCUUGUGCUUACCUAUUUCAUACAUAAUUACUCAUUUUCUUUCAAAGCAUGAUCACCUAAUUAUACACACCCACAAAGCGCGUGCUUCAACCCUAGUAUCACGUCAAUUGAAGAUCUGAUCGACAAGAUCUAUACAAUCACAUUGGUCAUAUGGUGUUAUCAAUUAAAGUUAGAAAUCUCUAACGAUUCUAACAAUUUUACAACUUAAUUAAGAUCAGUAUCAUGUCUUAAAAAAAAAACUUGGAUUGUGGGAUCAGAUUAUGUGAAUCCAAAUCGAGAAUAAUUUACCCACGGAUUCAGCUUGCCCAUCGUUCCGAAAGGCUUCAUCUCUCCAUUUAAGUCCGUCGCGAACUAACAACAACCAUGUGCGAAAAAAAGGUAAUAGGUCCAAUCUUUAGGCCCGACCUGCUCGACGAUCGCCUCUACUUUCGACAUCUUCCAUCUCGAACUUCAAUAAUUUAAUAUGCGAACGAUGAACUCAUGCGUCUAUAGAGCAAAAUUACCAGUAGAGGGGGAUGGCGCCACGGCCGUAGUAAGCAACGCCGGGAGUGCAUGGGUAGGUGUACUUGAAGGAAUCGUCGCAGUAGGACUGGCUCGGGCUCAUCUCCUUGUUGUAGCAGAGCCCCCACGCCAACGGCCCUCCGGUCGCCACUCCAUACCCGCCUGAAUUUCACGGCAAAAAUCGAGAUCAGAACACGUUUCGCUUGUGAGUGAAGUGAUCGAUGUGUGAAGUUCGGAGUCGGGUUUUCGCUUACAGGAUGUUUUGCUCCCAACGUGGCCGAGGAAGGCGGCGACCUCCUUCAUCGCGGUGACCUUCCCGCCGCUGGUCCCGAACCCAUGGGGCUGGUACUCCGCGGCUGCGGUGAUGAACGAGUGGUAGUCCCAGAAGCCGGCCGCGUGGGCCACGGGGGAGUUCCUCUUGGAGAAGAGGUUCUCGAACUGGUACGCCUGGAAGUAGUCGGAGAUGGUCUGGUUGCAGCAGUACUGCGACAGCUUUUUACACUCCCACCCCUUGGUGCACAACUUCUUGCCCUUCACUAUCUUCACCACCGGCUUCACCGACCCUGUGUCAUCGUCGUCCCCGCUCACAACGAGGGGCGACAGCAGCAGCGUCGCCGCGAGCACUGCCACCAGAAGCGAUUGCUUGAUGCCCUCCAUUGCUCUUGCGAAAAC